rnacentral:ncRNA from 2 species
UAGGGGGAUGGCGAUGGAGAUCGCCAAAACCGCCUUUUGUUUUGCCUAAAGUCUAAAAUCUGGUGAUUUGAAACCUAAAAGCUGAAAACAUAAGGCUGAUGGCUCCUACGAUUCC